rnacentral:rRNA from 1 species
UACAGAGGGGGCAAGCGUUGUUCGGAAUUACUGGGCGUAAAGGGCGCGUAGGCGGCCUGCUAAGUCAGACGUGAAAUCCCUCGGCUCAACCGGGGAACUGCGUCUGAUACUGGUGGGCUUGAGUUCGGGAGAGGAAUGUGGAAUUCCAGGUGUAGCGGUGAAAUGCGUAGAUAUCUGGAGGAACACCGGUGGCGAAGGCGGCAUUCUGGACCGACACUGACGCUGAGGCGCGAAAGCCAGGGGAGCAAAC